UGGAAUAACAGCAAGUAAAUUGUCCCAUCCACCACGAACACCACCACAGUGUCUCUCUAGAAGCUCUUUCAAUGGAAUACUCAUCUCCUCUUCAACGGUACAAGGCUUGUUUACAUGCCCUGAGAUGCAGAAAGUUUGUUCCAGAAUUGUUUUUCCUGCCAAACUAGCAAACCACUCCGGGCCCCGCCUCAAAAUGGUGGGUGAAACAGCCACUGUUUCAACGUUUGUAACAGUUGUGGGGCAACCAUAUAGCCCAGCAUUGGCUGGAAAAGGAGGCUUCAACCUUGGCUUUCCUUGCUUACCCUCAAGGCUCUCUAAAAGAGCUGUCUCUUCACCACAUAUAUAAGCUCCAGCACCAAAGUGGAUAUGCACAUCAAAAUCAUAACCUGAUCCACAUGCAUUCUUUCCCAACAAUCCUGCUGCAUAAGCUUCUUUCCUGGCUUUCUCAAGAUUCAGCCUUUCAUUCACAUACUCGCCACGAAUAUAAAUAUAUGCAGCGCUAGCCCUCAUCCCAACUCCCGCAAUUAGACAACCUUCUAACAGUUUAUGAGGAUCAUGUCGCAUGAUUUCUCUAUCUUUACAUGUUCCAGGUUCACUUUCAUCUGCAUUAACAACAAGAUAGGAAGGGCGGCCAUCAGAUGCCUUUGGCAUAAAGGACCAUUUAAGCCCAGAGGGAAAUCCAGCACCACCACGGCCUCUUAGACCUGAUUUCUUCAUUUCAUUGACAAUCCAAUCAGCUCCUUUAAUAACUAAAUCUUUUGUCCUGUACCAGUCUCCACGUUUCAUUGCACCUUUCAGGAACGGAUCAUGCAAACCAUAUACGUUAGUGAAUAUGCGAUCCUCAUCUUUCAGGCCGCCAAAGUGGGUCUUCUCUGGAGGUGGCGGAGGGGGCGGAGGCUGUGGCGUGGCAGAAGUUGUAGCAGCCUGUGUGCUAAGUAAUCUACGCACGAGGCCCAAAUUCUCACUGGAGCGCUGAACAAAAGCAGUCUUUUGUAGAGAAAGGAUGCCCUUCAUAGGAGCCUGUUGAAGCAUUAAAAUAGUAUGGCAAAUCAAAAGUUUAAUUUCAGAUCAUAAUUUUGAAGUAUACAGAAAUUCUUUCUACUGCAAAGGAACUCAUAAUACAUGCUACUUUUGAAACAUUUAUAUUUAAAACAUAAGCAAAACCAGAUACCCAAGGGGGUAAGUGAACCAAACAGUAUUAUAUACACGAGAACAAAGACACUCAAAGGCUUCAAGGAUAGCUGCUAUCAUCUAUACUUUAUUAAACAUGUGGAGAACUAAAUUUCUGCUGUCUCAAUAAACAAGAGAUGUAAGGGGAUACGAGGCUUGAGUCAACUGCUUAUCUAAUAUAAACCCUCUCCGGUUAUAAAUUGCAAUACACGCGUGCAAGGACAACUUGUUGACCGACUAGCAUAGGGAAAGGACUUCAAAAUAUUGUCCCAGAUGCAAGCACACUAACUAAGCUCAACAGAUUUCGAAAUGACCUCAAACCCUCAAACCCUCUAUCAAUCAAUUGAAUGAAACUCCACAGCACCUCGGAAAUUCAGGCAUAAACUACAAACUGCAAUGUACCUCAUUCUUAAGAAAGGAAUUUCAAUUAAAGCUAUUUUACCUACAUAAACUAUAACUCUUCCCCAUUUUCUAAUGACAUCAGCUCACGCCCAGAAACACUCAAGUAGAACCGUUUGCAAAUCAGAGGCCUUAAAAUAAAUAAAAAAACUAGGGUGCGAUCUAUUUGCAGUGAAACAUAAUUUUUCUCAUCCCAAAUUCACUCGUCAUCUAUUUCCAAUUAAAAAGGGUUAGAGCUUCGUUUCUUCAGCUCCUCGGUGAAUAAAUUGAUACUUCGAAACUUUGCAUUUUCAAUUAAUCCCACGAGCGAGAUCCAAAUUUCACGUAAAACCAGACAGUCAUUCAUAAAUAAUUGAAUAGUAAAAAUUAAAAAUAAAAAUAAAAAACGAAAAAACAAAUGAAGUAUCAGUUAGAUUCAGAAACAACGCGUACCAUGAUGGCAUCAAAAUUGUACAAGCAGAGCAGCUGCGAUUGAUCCGAGACCACGAAUAUGAUUACGAGCGCUUGAGAGAGAGAAGUGAGGGCGAUGAGAGAGAGAGUGGGAGAGGAGUCGAAAUAGAAAGCGAGCUGAGGCAGUCCUUAUGUGGGCAAGCCUACGAUAGUUUCGGUGAGGAUGAGCAAACGACGGUCGAGAUGGGAUUUUCUUUUCCGAUUUGACUAAUGUGAAGAUCAACGGUGAAGAAGCAACGAUCUCUCUGCGAUUAUAAAAAUGGACACGUGGAAAUAUCGUGGAGCUUCUGUGGCAACAUAAUGCUUAAAAAAUCAUUUUGGAUCCCUUGGGAAAAAGGAAAAAUUAUUUUGGGCCUUAUAUUUUAAAAAAUUUAUUGGGCUUUAUUUCUAUUAACGGGCUUGAGCUUCGACUGGGCUUACAUUGCUUUAAAUUUAAAAAUAAAUGGGCAUUUGAUAUGUUGGUUUUUCUCGUAAUAACAUAUAGGAAUAUAGGAUAAAGGGUAUUCUAUUCCUAGGCCCUAGCCCCAUUUUACUCUCCAUAAAUAAAUAUGUUAAUAUUUUUAAUAUUCAUAUAAAGAUAAGGUAGUAUUUUUAUUAAUAUUUUAUUAAAUAAGGAACUAUGAAGAGUAAAUUAUGAGGGGCUAUGAAUAAAAUCACGUAUGAUAAAAUGUGCGUCUACCCAUGAAAAAAUUGUAAAUAUAAAUGUCAAUCAGAUCAAUUUACUCAGAGUUAUUCGUUUCAAACUAUUCGAACUCAAAUUUUUUUGGCCACGACCCUAAAUUUUUUAAAUUUUAAAAUAAAUACAAUUUUUGGAUUCAAAAAUGGUUGUAAACUUCGUUAAAUUUUGUUUUUUCUACCGUAUAUUAAUUUAUAAACUUAAUUCGGUAUAUAAUUAAGUAUCUAAUUUUAUUUAACAUAAUUCAAUAUUUAAUAUUCAAUAUUUAUUGAGUUUUAAUUAUUGGAAUUUCGAUACAGAAAAAAAUACUUUUUUGAGGUUAAAUACAAAAUAAAAAUAAAAAAUAAAAAAAUAUAUCGACUUGGUGUAUAUAAUAAUUGGCAUAACUAUAAAUCAAGAUUGGUAGUUUAACACUAGUACGUGCUUCUCUAAUUAAAAUUUAAAAGUUUAAGCAUGAGAUAUAUAUAUGUCAUCAAUGAUUUCAUAUUAUGUCAUUUUGUAGUGUGCCGUUGUUCUCGAUUUAGGCAAAACAAAAUUAAUUAUAUUUUAAUUAAUAUUAUUAUAUGAUUGGUGUCCUUUGUUGGUGGUUGCCUUUGGGGAUGAUGCAGGCCAAAUCCGGAUAAGUGUGAUUAUAAAAAUGAAGAAAGAUUAGUUAAUUUGGUGUUUAGCAAUGGAGAACUCUUCCAUCAUCAUAUCUUUGCUUAGCCGGUUAAUCUAUUUAAUUAAUUCACCAACGAUGUGAUGAUUUUUAUGCCCCCAACACACUUAAUGGCAUAAAAUUAAAAAACAUUACGAUUUAAGAGCAAUUUUUUGAUUAAAAAUUAGCUAUUUUUAUAAAUAGUACUCCCUCCGUCCACGAAAUAAACUCCUACUUGCCCUUAAAUAUUUGUCCACGAAAUAAACUCCUACUCUGCUUUUUGGACAAUUAUACCCUCUCUUGCUUUUACAUUUAAAAUGGGACCUUUACUCCACUACCAACUUCACUCACAUUUUAUUAAAACUCGUGCCGAAAGUAAAGUGACAUAUUUUUGGUGGACGAAGAGACUACUAUAUUUCGAUAUUUAUACGAGAUAGUCACGUUGGUUGGUUUUCUAUAAAUAGUAGUAGUAUAUAUUUUUUGAUAUUUAUAUAUAAUACCCAAGUAAAAAAAAAAACAUGGUAGCCAAUGCUUAUAUCUGUGUAGAAUAUAUACAUUUGGUUGUUAUAGAAUGUGAGAAAUGGUAUUCGUUGGAUAAUUAAAUUUAUGUUUCAUAAGUUCUCGAGUUUUUAUUGAACUUGCAUUUAGUAUUUUUAUAAUAUUAUGAAGUACUUUAUUACUCCCUCGUCCCAAUAAAAGUGACCACUUUUUUUGGGGCACGGAGAUUAAGAAGGGGAUUGUUAUGUUUUAAUUGAGUGUGACCCACCAAAAUUAGUGAGUAAUUUUUAGAAAGUGGCCUACAAUUGUUGACCAAAUUAGUGAAUAAUUUUGACAUUUUUAGAAAGUGGCCUACAAUUGUUGACCAAAAUUAGUGAGUAAUUGUUGACUUAAUUAAAAUAAAACUUUUGCCAUUUUUAGAAAGUAGCCACUUUUAAUGGGACACCCAAAAAGGAAAUGUGGCCACUUUUAUUGGGACGGAGGGAGUACUUUAUUAAUUUUAUAAAUUAUACUCUUUUCGUCCCUCAAACAGCUUCUUUUAGAAAAGACGACACAAGUUUAUAANUAUUAUUAUUAUCCUUAUUAUAUUAUUAUCCUUAUUAUUGUUGUUGUUAUUAUUAUUAUUAUUAUUUAUUAUUGUUAUUUUUAUUAUUAUUAUUUAUUUGUUUAUUUUUAUUUGUUGUUGUUGUUAUUACUAUUACUUAUUAUUAUUAUUAUUAUUAUUAUUAUUAUUAUUAUUAUUAUUAUUAUUAUUAUUAUUAUUAUUAUUAUUAUUAUUAUUAUUAUUAUCCUUAUUAUUUUUAUUGUUAUUGUUGUUGUUAUUAUUAUUAUUAUUAUCAAAUUGCUAGUUAAAGAUUAGUAAAAGUAAUAACAAUACAUAAACACUACCCUUUUAGUCUUUUACACCACCUUUACACCACCUUUUUCAGCUUUCUUAGUCUCCGUGCCGAACCCCAACUGGGAGUUUAUUUCAUGGACGGAGGGAGUACUAUAUUUCGAUAUUUAUACGAGAUAGUCACGUUGGUUGGUUUUCUAUAAAUAGUAGUAGUAUAUAUUUUUUGAUAUUUGUAUAUAAUACCCAUUUAAAAAAAAAAACAUGGUAGCCAAUGCUUAUAUCUGUGUAGAAUAUAUACAUUUGGUUGUUAUAGAAUGUGAGAAAUGGUAUUCGUUGGAUAAUUAAAUUUAUUGUUUCAUAAGUUCUCGAGUUUUUAUUUGAACUGCAUUAGUAUUUUAUAAUAUUAUGAAGACUUUAUUAAUGUUUUAUAACCAUUGAUGAGUUAGCAAAAUAAAAUUUUGAAAAUAUAAUAUAAUUGCAUAAUUCGAAAAUCUCAACUCAAAACCUACGUAAAGGAUUCAAUAAAUUUUAAUUGUGGUUGGCGUCAAUAUUACUACGUGAUCAAACAUGGUUAUUGGCAAUUUUAAGAAAUAAGAAUCAUUCUAUUAUAAAAUUCGUUUGAUCUUUUUCGAAUCUUUAUUUGAGACCAUUUUCGAAGUGUUAUGCAACAAAUUAACACAUGGUUGAUAGUUAACUUCACUGAAAAAAGGAUUAAAUUUCAAAUAGAAAGUUAUGAGUUUUACAAAUCCAAUAAACAAAUAUUACGUGAAAUGGAUGCUCAUGCAAUAGUGUGUAGCUCGUUUCUCAUUGACAAAUUUGAUUUCGUCAAAGGAUGAAAAAUCACAAUAUAAUAGUGUCAUUAUCACUAAAUCAUCAACAAAUUUGUAUUUUAGCAUUAGAUUAUGAUUAUCACACAAAAAUAAAAUUAAAAAGAUUUGGUCCAUCACGUUUUAUACAUCCUCCUCUUUCACACUCCAAAAUCCAAACUACUCUCUCUCUCUCUCUCUCUCACACACACACACACCUCCUUGAGCUUCUCUCUGUUUCUCCACAAUCCAACAUUCUACAGUCGGAGCAAAAUCACCAUAUUCUGAAGCUCGUGCGCUAAAAAAGAGCAGAAAUGACUGAAGUAUUCACCAGCACCGCCGGCGGGGGAAGCCAGUACUUGAUCGGAAAGAAACAACAGAUUUUUCCGGUGACGAGACUUCGCGCUGAAUACGACGACGAGCCUAUUUCUCAGCGGCUAGUCAUUGCGGCUCAAUCCGACGAUCUCCGCCGAGCUGCCGAGCUCGUUUCUCAUCCAUCCGUCGACGUUAAUUUCAUCGGAACAGUUUGCCUGAAAUCCAGAAAAACAGAGGUCGUGUUGAACGGCGAAUCGGCGAGUGAAGUUCGCGUCGAGUUCGAAGAGUUCAGGACUGACGUCACCGCUCUCUUCCUCGCCGCUCAUAACGGAAAUCUCGCACUCGUCAAAAAAUUACUGGUAAUUACGUGAUUAUUUUACGUUUCUCUCCAUUUGAUUUGAAUGUCGUAAUUUGCUGAGUCAAAAUUUAGCAUUAAUUCUGGCGAUAUGCGUUUUAUAUGAUUUAAAAUAUAAUCAUAUCUGUAACAUGAUCAUCAGCAGCGAGACAAUUAUUGGUGGACUCGUUUGAAUUUAUUGUGAAAAACUGAUUCAUGCUUGCAUCAAAGUUCUUAAAAUAAAAUAUCAAGCUAAAUUUGAAAAAAAAAUGGAAUUAUUGUUGCAAGUUUCUCAGGAUUCAGUUGCAAAUUCCAAAUAUGUUUUGAGUUUGUUAAUAAAAGUAUUAUUCCAGAAUUAUUAAUAUGAGAUUAAUUAUUGAGCGAUAUUCUGAAGAAUUAUUACUCUCAAAUGAAAUUGAGCAAUAUCGAAGAGUUUAUCUGAUCCUAUUUGAAUCUGUUUCAGGUGUGCAUGUUUGAUUUUCUACUACCUAUCAUCAGACGAUUAGACCUUUUUAGGAUGAAUCCAUAGAGCUUAAUAUAGUUUUAUUUUAAUUAUAUAUUCUAUUUUACCAAGUCAAUCAAUAACAUGAUUUUUGUCGGCCCCAAAAUUCCAAAACUAUUUAAUUGAAUACACUGUUUCUUAUCGUAAUUUGUCUAGAUUUAGGAAGAGCAUUUGAAUCUUACCGUUUUAAUUUGUUCUCUCAGCCAAAACCUAAUAUGUAUCAAAAACCGCAAUUAUUAGUGUGAGCAUUAAACAAAUACUUUCUCAAUUGUAUUUCUUAUGCCCAAUAAUAGGCCUAAAGUGUCAAAGUUGAGUUGCUUUGGAGCGUGGUAAUCAAAUUGAUUUAUGCAAUAUGCCUUGUCACAACAGGCUCCACUUGUUUCAACCUGUCUCUUGAUUUCGACAAGCUAGAAAGCAACAUAUUCAUCAUUUUUUUUUAAUGAAAACAGAGUGUUGGGGCGAAUGUGAACCAAAAACUAUUUCGAGGGUAUGCAACAACUGCUGCAGUGAGGGAAGGCCACAUCGAGGUGUUGAAGAUACUAUUGAACGGCGGGGCGGCUCAGGCAGCCUGCGAGGAGGCGUUGCUGGAGGCGUGCAACUUGGGGCGGGCCAGAGCUGCCGAGCUGCUCAUGGCUUCGGACAUGAUCCGCCCUCACGUUGCUGUCCACGCCCUUGUCGUUGCCUCGAGCAGGGGAUUCGUUGAUUCCGUUGCAGCUCUCAUUAAGGUGCAUUAUGAGUUGAUCAAUCUUUGUUUGAUUCAUUAGUGAAGAUGGAAAUUUUAAAGAUGGUCAUUUUGUUGAUGCUGCAGAAUGGAGCUGAUGCUAAUGCAAAUACAAGGAUGCUGCUGCAAUCCUCCAAGCCUUCUCUCCACGCCAAUGUCGAUUGCAACGCGCUUGCUGCAGCUGUUGUUAGCCGACAAACUUCAGUUGUUCAGCUGCUGUUAAAUGUAAUCAUAUUCUAGCUAACAUUCUACGUUGAUUUGUUGUCUGAAAAUUAACUUGUUUUUAUGCUCGUGGUGAAAGAUGGGAUGCAGAAGAGAUGCUAAGGUUAGGUUGGGAGCUUGGUCAUGGGACUUAGCCACAGGCGAGGAGUUCCGAGUGGGAGCUGGUUUGGCCGAGCCAUAUCCCAUCACAUGGUGCGCAGUGGAGUAUUUCGAAGCUAGUGGUGCUAUCCUGCGCAUGCUCCUGCAACACUCCUCUCCUAACCUCCCCCAUCUAGGGAGGACGAUCCUCCACCACGCGAUCCUAUGUGGCAACGCGAGAGCCCUCGAGGUGCUCUUGAGCAGCGGCGCUGCCGACACAGAAUCCCCAAUCCAAACAUCUCAGAAUGCAGACAUACGCCCCGUACACUUGGCUGCCCGCCUCGGGCUGGCCACGAUUCUUCGCCUCUUGAUCAAUGCCGGCUGUGAUGUGAACUCCAGAACGGGGUGUGGGGAGACCGCGCUGAUGAUAUGCGCUCGACACAAGCACGAGGAGUGCCUCAAGCUUGUGGCUUCAGCAGGGUCUGAUUUUGGCUUGUGUAAUGUCACCGGUCAGUCUGCAAUGUCGAUUGCUGGACUAGCACGGUGGAGCCUCGUCUUCCAGCAGGCGGUUUUGGAGGUGAUUCGAGCUGGGAAAAUUGCGCGAUCAAGCAAUCCUGAGGCGUUUUCGUCUCUGCUGUUUGUGGCUCGAGCAAAUGAUGUGGAGGCCAUGACGAAACUGAUCAAGCAUCAAGAUUUGGACAUUGAUGAGAGAGAUGAUGCUGGAUUCUCUGCGGUGAUGGUUGCUGCCGCAGGUGGUCAUGUCGAGAUCUUUAGGCUGCUCGUGAACGCCGGAGCUGAUGUGGAGCUGCAGAAUAAGUACGGCGAGACGGCGAUCAGCUUAGCAAAAGCAAGCCAAAAAAGAGAUGCAUUUGCAGAGAUUUUAUCAUCUACGAAUGGUGAUACGAUCAAGCCCGAUCUGCAUCGUGCUGCUCGCUUCGGAAACCAAGAUUUGGUUCAAGAACUAGUGAGUAAUGGCCUCGAUGUUAAUCUUCUGAAUUGCGAUGGAUAUAGUCCAUUGAUGUUGGCAGCUAGAUCAGGUGAUGGGAGUAUGUGUGAGCUUCUGAUCUCGUUGGGGGCGAAGUGCGACUUGAAAAACGCGAGGCACGAGACCGCGCUCUCGCUGGCGGACGGGGCCGGGGCGGAGCGGGUGAUACUCGACGAGCUUGCUCGCGAGCUAGUGACGGGAGGGGCUCGCGUGAAGAAGCACACCAAGGCGGGGAAGGGGACGCCCCACGCCAAGGUGUUGCGGAUGGUGGAGGCCGGAGGGGUGUUGAGCUGGGGGAAGUCGAGCCGGAGGAAUGUGAUCUGUCGAGGGGCCGAGGUGGGCCCGAGCUCGACGUUCCGGUGGAACCGGCGGAGGAAGAGCGACGGUGAGGAUCAAGGGUUGUUCCGGGUGGUGACUACGAAGAAUCAAGAGUUUCAUUUUUCUUGCUGUGGUGGAGCUGAAGUGGCCGAGUUGUGGGUGAGGGGAAUAAGGCUAGUGACUCGUGAAGCUAUUUUUGGGAGUAAAUGAAAGAGAGUAUAGACGUUUAGUAUACUUUUUUUGGGGGGAAUUGUAUUUUUCAUUCUUAUAGUAUGUAUAAUUUAUACGUUUUUAAUUAAAUUAUAAAUAAUUUAAAUAGAAAUUAUAGCAAAAUCAGAAUUUGUAAAUAUCGUCUCGAUUUUCAAAAUUAGUUAUUACUCGCAUUUUGAGUUCAAUUUAAUCGAUAAUUUGAUUAUAGUUGACUUUGAUAUAAAGCAUUUGACAUUUGACUCAUAAAAUAUACUCCCUCCGUAAAUAUGCAUGGUUGACCAUGACAGGAAUUUUAAUAAAAAAAAUAUUUGAAUUAUUAAUAGUGAAAAAUGGGUCUCACAUGAGGGAUAUUAUUAAAUAGAUUAUUAGUAAAUAGUAGUAUAAAGUUAGAAGGAUAAAAUUAUAAAAAUUAUUUGGAGGGUAGUGUCCAAAAAUAGAGUAUGCAUAAAUUUAGGGAACACUCUAAAAAAGAAAUAUAUGCAUAAAUAUAUGUGGAGGGUAGUGUCAAAAAAUAGAGUAUGCAUAAAUUUAGAGGACAUUCUAAAAAAGAAAUAUAUGCAUAAAUAUGGAGGACGGGAGUACAAUUUUAUUGUUUUGAAUUCAACUUUCAAAUAAAUCAUAAUUUCAAUGCAAUUUAUUAUCACCAAACUAUAAUUCCUUUAUACGGGUUUAAUGCAACUUGUGGUGAAACUCUAACCAUAUAUAUAGAUACAUAUCCUACAUAGAUACAUAUAGAUCCCUCAAGCCACUUAGAUCUAUAUCUCCUCAAAAUUCAAGAUUAAGAAACCCAAAAAAAAACUCAAAAUGGGCUCUCCAAAAUCAAAUCUAUUUUGCACCCUCAUUGUGUUCCUCUCAAUCCAAACCAAACAAGUGCUGUGCAGCAGCUACCAAGUUGGAGGCUUAGAUGCUUGGGGCAUUCCCACCUCCUCCAACCCAAAAGUUUACACCAACUGGGCUACCAAGUUCCAUGGCCUCAACAUUGGAGAUUCUCUCUGUAACUACAUCAUAUUAAUUCUUACUCUCUCUCUCUCUCUAUAUAUAUAUAUAUAUGAAAGACUAGACUAAAAUGUGAUUGUGUGUUUGUGCAGUUUUCUUGUACCCUCCCAGCCAAGAUUCCGUGAUCCAAGUGAGAAAGGAAUCUUACGACAGCUGCAACCUCACAGAUCCGAUCUCGUACAUGAACAAUGGCAACUCCCUUUUCAAUAUUACCCAAGCCGGCAAUUUCUACUUCACCAGCGCCGCCGAUGGCCACUGCGCCAAAUCUCAGAAGCUUCACAUUUUUGUCUCUGGGAAUGGAUCUUUCGUCGACGAAGACGAGCCGGCUUCCGCACCGGCCGCCUCCGCCCCCUCCUAUCCCACGGUUUUCGGCGCCAUUCCGGUCCAGGCCGCUUCGGCCUCGCCGUUGCUUCAGAUUCCGGUUUUCAUGGCUGCCAUUGUGUUGCCGGGGCUUGUGCUUGUGAUGUAGAAGCCAUAUAACUUUUGAUAUUAUCGUUUUUGUUUUGUUGAUAAUUCAUUUUUUUUGGCAAUGUGAUUUCGAAAAUGGUUUUUAAGGGUUGAGAAAUGUGUCGGCACCACAUUUUUUGUGCAUGUGUGAUUCUAUGUAUUGGUUAAAUUUUUGGUGUAUAUAUGUGUAAUUCUAUAUUCCUUAAACGAAAUGGAUAAUUUUUUUAUAGUAUUAUUUUAUGUUUUAAGUUCUCGAAAAAUGAAAUGUGUCGGUUUUAUUUAUUUAUUUAUUUAUUACUCCCAAUAUGAAAUCAUAAUGAUCAAGAUCUUAGAAAAAAAAAUUAUCUAAUGAUUAUUAUUUUAUCCGUCUCAUAAAAAUAUGCAUAGUAUGAGACGAUACGAGUUUUAAGAAAUCAUAUACUAAAAUGUUUGUCUCAUAAAAACAUGCAUAGUAUGAGAUAAUACGAAUUUUAAGAAAUCAUGUAAAAUGUAGUGUGAGUGGAGAAACAGUCCCACAUUGAUUAUGAUGUUUAGUGAGAGAAUUAUUAUUAUAAAUGGAGUAUGCAUAUUUUUAUGGAACGGACGAAAAAGAAAAUUUGUACAUGUAUUCUUUGAGGCGUUAAUUGAUUGUAAAUUUUGGUAUUUUUUUUUACCGAUAUAAGUCGUAAAAUCUAUAUUUUUGUUGAUUUGAAUUCGAAUCUUAGAUAGAACACAAUUUCAGUGCAAUUUAUUACCACCAAAGUACAUGCAAUUUAUAGUGUAAUUCAACCAUAUUAUAUAGAGAUACAUAUUCCACAUAGAUACAUAUAGGUUCGUUAGAAAGAAAAUUAAAAUUAUCGUUUUAACUGAAAAAGGGCGCACAAGCUGCUGUUGUGUCCUAAAUAAGCUCAAAAAAGGUUUUGAGUUUGAGAUUGGUAAACGCGGCAAAAUUAUACAAAACCCUAGUUAAACCUGUUGAAUUUGAAAUGUCAAUUAUUUCAAUGGCAGAACUGCCAAUUCUUCAAUUUGAAGACAAAAUCGUCGAAACCGUGGAUAAGAAUCCGGUAGUAGUUGUAAUCGGUGAAACUGGCUCGGGAAAGAGUACCCAGCUCUCUCAAAUUCUUCAUCGGCGAGGUUACACCAAAUCGGGUUGCAUCGCUGUAACUCAGCCGCGUCGAGUUGCCGCUGUUACAGUAUCAAGGUGAAUUCCUCAAUUAAGUUAUAUGAUGUUGUGAUAAUUUGACGUUUCUGUUCAUAGAAGAAAAUGUAUUCCCUUGCUUAGUCAGUUACGUUUUACUCCUUAGCAGCUCUUUGGUUAUUGUUGGAACUACAUUUGAGAAAUUAGCUAAUAAUAGCUGAGUCACUCUUACCAGAAUCCUAGCUGGUUUGCUUCAUUUUGUUUCAAAUUAUGUGUAUUUGUUUGAUACGUGAUCAUGCAUUGAACGUUUUUUGUCCACUAGGCGUGUCUCAGAAGAAUUGAAUGUGAGGCUGGGCGACGAGGUAGGUUACGCGAUUCGCUUUGAAGAUAGAACUUCGGAGAAGACGAUUAUUAAGUAAACUAUCUUUUAUAAAAUACAUUGAAAACUAUGUCUGUGGAAAGAACAAAGCAUUCUUAUUCAUUUUUUCUGUACAUGUGCGUGCAGAUACCUAACCGAUGGAGUUCUCUUGCGCGAAAGUCUUUCCAACCCGGAGCUGAGCCAAUAUUCGGUCAUCAUAUUAGAUGAAGCUCAUGAGAGGAGCUUGAACACGUAAAUCACUAUAAAGUUUCCUAAUGUGUCAUUGAUGUAAUACUUUUGGUAUUUAUCUGUCCGCAUGUUAUUCUGAGACUUUGUAAUUGGGAAUCUUUUUUCUGAGCUUGUUCUAAUAUUUCUAUUUGCUCUUGGUGAAAUAUCUUUUGUUUGAUGGGUGUAACUGUGUUUGGUCAGGGAUGUGUUGCUUGGAUUGAUGAAAAGAUUAAUUAAAUUGCGUGCAUCCAAUUUGAAAGUUUUGGUCACUUCAGCUACACUUGAUGGUGAAAAAGUAUCAAGAUUCUUCUCGAAUUGCCCAAUCCUCAACGUUCCAGGGAAAUUAUUCCCUGUUGAGAUACAUCAUAGCUCAGAACGACCAAAAAGUUAUAUUGAUGCUUCUUUGAAAAAAGCUCUUGGUACGAUAUCUUAAUAUUUGUUAUUUUUUUGUUAUUUAACUUUGCUACAUUUAUCUAUCAGUGAACAAUAUAGUUCCCUGUCAUUGCUUGCCAUAUUUUCUUCUUGUCUCAAUUCUCCACUUAUAUGGUUCAUGCUUCCUUUGCAGAUAUACACACACAAGAACCCGAAGGUGACAUCUUAAUUUUUAUGACGGGACAGGUUAGAACCAUAUUGUUUGGUUUUAAUGUUGUGUUGUAAUGCUUAUUCUAGUAAAGAUAGUUGUGAAUUUACCUUGUAGGAUGACAUAGAGAAGUUGGUCUCAAGACUGGAAGAGAGAAUCCAAAGAUUGGAGGAAGGGUCUUGUAUGGAUGCUGUAAUUUAUCCUCUUCAUGGAUCUCUGCCUCCUGAAUUGCAAGUUAGUUUUCACUUCUUAAUAUGCUGCUAUAAUGUCUAUUUCCCACAAUUUUUAAUAUGAAGGGACCUUGCGUUAUAUAGAACCACUUGGAUUCAAUCUCUGCAAGAAAUCUUUUGUUCAUUUUAUCAUCCUAGAGUUGCACAUCAGCUUAUUGACUCAUUUCCCCCUCAUUUUGAUUCAUGUUCUACAGUCUAUUUGUCUUUGUGAUUAUCUAGCUCUUUAAAAAAAUAAGAAGAAGUAAUAGCUUGUUGCUUUUUUUUCUAACUAUCGUCUUGUACUUGCAUUACUUGUGCAGGUCCGUGUAUUUAGUCCUCCACCUCCCAAUUGCCGGUCGUUCAUCGUUUCUACCAACAUAGCAGAGACAUCUUUGACUGUUGAUGGUGUUGUGUAAGAUACUUUAAUGCUAUUUUAGAUCUGCAUUACUUGACACAUCAUGAGGAAUCCAUUGCUACUUGAAUUGCUGAGAUUCAAAUAUAUGUCCAAGUUAUCAAUAUCUAAUCUAUUGAAUCAGAGGAUAGAGCGAAGUGUUAGUAUUCUUAAUAAUUGAGUAUGUGAUACUUUUGGUUAUUGGUAGUGGGAAAAACUUGGCAAAUGGUUCAUAUACUUAUAUAAUAAACCAAAACCAGUUUGUGUCUUGUUAUCAUAUUAAGAACUUUUUCUGAAUAUAAGUUUUUAAAAAAUUGACGUGAACUGCAGGUAUGUAAUUGAUCCUGGUUUUGUGAAGCAACGACAGUACAACCCAUCAACUGGCAUGUAUUCUCUUGAUAUUGUCCAAAUCAGCAAGUAUGGGUUCGGAUUCUUAUUUUAGAUGUUAUUCUAGCUUGAGCUGGUGUUCAUGGUCUAUUCCCCUGCUACUUGAUACAUGUAUAUGCUGUGUGCAUCUGUUUUUUUUUUUGGCUUCAUUGGACUCGAGAAAGACAUUGUGUCUUUGAACACAAAAUGAACUGGAGUCGUGGCUAUACAAUAAUAAUAUGCAUCAUUUUGUUUUCCAUUUUUUUCCCCUGUAGUAGGUAAAGUCUUUAAGAAUUUUACUCUUUUUUUGUCGUCACAAUCCAACCAGUUUAUAUGUGAUUUGAUUUGAUUAUGUGCUCUCUUCAUAUUGAGUUUUAAUGCUCAAAACUAGGAGGGGUUAUGUGAAAAAAUGUAAUGUACAAUGCAUUUUUGUUUAUGCACUCAUUCUCAGACCACAAACAUAUUUCAGAGUGCAGGCUAAUCNUGUGUGAGGGAAGAUUGCUGGCAGCUAUUUCACCUCUUUCGCCGGCAACGCGGCCGCCCGUCUGAAAAAGGAAUUUCGUCCAUUACCAGAAGACCAUCUCCCAGCACCAAUUCAUACAGGAAUUCAAGUUCAAUCAUAACAAUUGCUCUUCAAACACUCUUCUCUGCUAUCUCUCGGCUAAAGCAAGAAUACCUCAAUUGGCUAUUCAAGAUUACUUUUCUGGAGAGCAGAAGAACCAAUGACACCGGCGAUCACCCCUCGUGCCACCUCUCUGGUUUACCGGCGAUGGCGCUGCUCCACGCCGUCGAGAUCUGUGAUGCCGCUCCACACACGCCCACACUGAGAUCUUUGUGCGCAACGAGAGAGAGAGGGAGAUAGAGCAGAAGUAGAGGGGGGGGAAAUUCAUGGUGGCGGCGGCCUUGUAGCUGCCAUUCGCCGAAAAAUUCAGGAGCAAGGGUUGCCGCCGCCGCCGAAGGUUGCAGGGGACGUCGAACCCAAAUAAUUGAGAAGGGGACCAAGGGGGUUGCACUCACAGAGCUUUGGAUCGAAACUCACCUUCUUCUCCGGCGAUUUGGGUGUCGCCGCUGACGAUUUUGGGGUGCCGCCGAGAGAGGUAAGCGAUUUUGGAGUGCUGCCGCCUACAACAGAGAGAGAGAGAGAGAGAGAGAGAGAGUUGAGCGAGAGAAGUGAGCUAAAGAGAUAAAUGAGAAUUUAAUUAGAGAACCCUAAUUUUUAUUAAGUGAGCUUAAUUAAAUAUAAAUAUUUCUACUUUUAGAAAGUUGCCACUUUUAGUGGGACAAACUAAAAUGGAAAUGUGGCCACAUUUAUUGGGAUGGAGGGAGUAUUAUUUUAUGCGUCUCAUAAAAAUAUGCAUAGUAUGAGACGAUAUGAGUUUUAAGAAAUCAUAUACUAAAAUGUUUGUCUCAUAAAAACAUGCAUAGUAUGAGAUAAUACGAAUUUUAAAAAAUCAUGUAAAAUGUAGUAUGAGUGGAUUAUGAUGUUUAGAGAGAGAAUUAUUACUAUAAAUGGAGUAUGCAUAUUUUUAUGGAACGGACGAAAAAGAAAAAUUAUACAUGUAUUCUUUGAGGCGUUAAUUGACUGUAACUUUUGGUAUUUUUUUUACCUAUAUAAGUUGUAAAAUCUAUACUUUUGUUGAUUUGAAUUCGAAUUUUAGAUAGAACACAAUUUCAGUGUAAUUUAUUACCACGAAAGUACAUGCAUGUUUGAUCGCCCUAGAUAAAGCAAAAUAGAUAAAUAAUCAUGUUUUAUCUAAGCGUUUGAUAGCAAUAUUGAUUAACAAGAAGGUCCGCAUUAAAGGAGAGACCCGCUUUUAUAUCACUGUUCCACUGAAAAAUUUAAUAUCUCAUUUUCUUGAUAUUAUUUAUCUAGGUAUUAUUUAUCUAAGUUUUAUUUAUAACCUUUUAUUAUCUCAAUUUUAUAUCAAACACACGUGUAAUUCAACCAUAUUAUAUAGAGAUACAUAUUCCACAUAGAUACAUAUAGGUUCGUUAGAAAGAAAAUUAAAAUUAUCGUUUUAACUGAAAAAGGGCGCACAAGCUGCUGUUGUGUCCUAAAUAAGCUCAAAAAAGGUUUUGAGUUUGAGAUUGGUAAACGCGGCAAAAUUAUACAAAACCCUAGUUAAACCUGUUGAAUUUGAAAUGUCAAUUAUUUCAAUGGCAGAACUGCCAAUUCUUCAAUUUGAAGACAAAAUCGUCGAAACCGUGGAUAAGAAUCCGGUAGUAGUUGUAAUCGGUGAAACUGGCUCGGGAAAGAGUACCCAGCUCUCUCAAAUUCUUCAUCGGCGAGGUUACACCAAAUCGGGUUGCAUCGCUGUAACUCAGCCGCGUCGAGUUGCCGCUGUUACAGUAUCAAGGUGAAUUCCUCAAUUAAGUUAUAUGAUGUUGUGAUAAUUUGACGUUUCUGUUCAUAGAAGAAAAUGUAUUCCCUUGCUUAGUCAGUUACGUUUUACUCCUUAGCAGCUCUUUGGUUAUUGUUGGAACUACAUUUGAGAAAUUAGCUAAUAAUAGCUGAGUCACUCUUACCAGAAUCCUAGCUGGUUUGCUUCAUUUUGUUUCAAAUUAUGUGUAUUUGUUUGAUACGUGAUCAUGCAUUGAACGUUUUUUGUCCACUAGGCGUGUCUCAGAAGAAUUGAAUGUGAGGCUGGGCGACGAGGUAGGUUACGCGAUUCGCUUUGAAGAUAGAACUUCGGAGAAGACGAUUAUUAAGUAAACUCCCUUUUGUAAAAUACAUUGAAAACUAUGUCCGUGGAAAGAACAAAGCAUUCUUAUUCAUUUUUUCUGUACAUGUGCGUGCAGAUACCUAACCGAUGGAGUUCUCUUGCGCGAAAGUCUUUCCAACCCGGAGCUGAGCCAAUAUUCGGUCAUCAUAUUAGAUGAAGCUCAUGAGAGGAGCUUGAACACGUAAAUCACUAUAAAGUUUCCUAAUGUGUCAUUGAUGUAAUACUUUUGGUAUUUAUCUGUCCGCAUGUUAUUCUGAGACUUUGUAAUUGGGAAUCUUUUUUCUGAGCUUGUACUAAUAUUUCUAUUUGCUCUUGGUGAAAUAUCUUUUGUUUGAUGGGUGUAACUGUGUUUGGUCAGGGAUGUGUUGCUUGGAUUGAUGAAAAGAUUAAUUAAAUUGCGUGCAUCCAAUUUGAAAGUUUUGGUCACUUCAGCUACACUUGAUGGUGAAAAAGUAUCAAGAUUCUUCUCGAAUUGCCCAAUCCUCAACGUUCCAGGGAAGUUAUUCCCUGUUGAGAUACAUCAUAGCUCAGAACGACCAAAAAGUUAUAUUGAUGCUUCUUUGAAAAAAGCUCUUGGUACGAUAUUUCUUAUAUUGUUUUUUGUUAUUUAACUUUGCUACAUUUGUCUAUCAGUGAACAAUAUAGUUCCCUGUCAUUGCUUGCCAUAUUUUCUUCUUGUCUCAAUUCUCCACUUAUGUGGUUCAUGCUUCCUUUGCAGAUAUACACACACAAGAACCCGAAGGUGACAUCUUAAUUUUUAUGACGGGACAGGUUAGAACCAUAUUGUUUGGUUUUAAUGUUGUGUUGUAAUGCUUAUUCUAGUAAAGAUAGUUGUGAAUUUACCUUGUAGGAUGACAUAGAGAAGUUGGUCUCAAGACUGGAAGAGAGAAUCCAAAGAUUGGAGGAAGGGUCUUGUAUGGAUGCUGUAAUUUAUCCUCUUCAUGGAUCUCUGCCUCCUGAAUUGCAAGUUAGUUUUCACUUCUUAAUAUGCUGCUAUAAUGUCUAUUUCCCACAAUUUUUUAAUAUGAAGGGACCUUGCGUUAUAUAGAACCACUUGGAUUCAAUCUCUGCAAGAAAUCUUUUGUUCAUUUUAUCAUCCUAGAGUUGCACAUCAGCUUAUUGACUCAUUUCCCCCUCAUUUUGAUUCAUGUUCUACAGUAUAUUUGUCUUUGUGAUUAUCUAGCUCUUUAAAAAAAUAAAGAGAAGUAUAGCUUGUUGCUUUUUUUUUCUAACUAUCGUCUUGUACUUGCAUUACUUGUGCAGGUCCGUGUAUUUAGUCCUCCACCUCCCAAUUGCCGGCGGUUCAUCGUUUCUACCAACAUAGCAGAGACAUCUUUGACUGUUGAUGGUGUUGUGUAAGAUACUUUAAUGCUAUUUUAGAUCUGCAUUACUUGACACAUCAUGAGGAAUCCAUUGCUACUUGAAUUGCUGAGAUUCAAAUAUAUGUCCAAGUUAUCAAUAUCUAAUCUAUUGAAUGAGAGGAUAGAGCAAAGUGUUAGUAUUCUUAAUAAUUGAGUAUGUGAUACUUUUGGUUAUUGGUAGUGGGAAAAACUUGGCAAAUGGUUCAUAUACUUAUAUAAUAAACCAAAACCAGUUUAUGUCUUGUUAUCAUAUUAAGAACUUUUUCUGAAUAUAAGUUUUUAAAAAAUUGACGUGAACUGCAGGUAUGUAAUUGAUCCUGGUUUUGUGAAGCAACGACAGUACAACCCAUCAACUGGCAUGUAUUCUCUUGAUAUUGUCCAAAUCAGCAAGUAUGGGUUCAGAUUCUUAUUUUAGAUGUUAUUCUAGCUUGAGCUGGUGUUCAUGGUCUAUUCCCCUGCUACUUGUAUACAUGUAUAUGUUGGGUGCAUCUGUUUUUUUUUUUGGCUUCAUUGGACUCGAGAAAGACAUUGUGUCUUUGAACACAAAAUGAACUGGAGUCGUGGCUAUACAAUAAUAAUAUGCAUCAUUUUGUUUUCCAUUUUUUUCCCCUGAGUAGGUAAAGUCUUUAAGAAUUUACUCUUUUUUUGUCGCACAAUCCAACCAGUUUAUAUGUGAUUUGAUUUGAUUAUGUGCUCUCUUCAUAUUGAGUUUUAAUGCUCAAAACUAGGAGGGGUUAUGUGAAAAAAUGUAAUGUACAAUGCAUUUUUGUUUAUGCACUCAUUCUCAGACCACAAACAUAUUUCAGAGUGCAGGCUAAUCAACGUGCAGGAAGAGCUGGAAGAACACGUCCUGGGAAGUGCUAUCGUUUGUACUCAUCUGUGGCCUACAAGGAUGACUUCCUGGAUGCUACAAUUCCAGAAAUACAGAGAUCUUCCCUUGCAGGAAGUAUCCUGUAUUUGAAAUCAUUGGACCUAUCGGACAUCAAUAUUCUCAAAUUCGACUUCCUCGACCCACCUUCUUGUAAGAAUUUUUUUUUCUUUUACCCAUCUUUUAUUCAACAGUGAGGUGUUUAGGUGUUUUUCUUAAUAGUGAAAACUUAGCUUGCCUUUGCUGCAGUUGAAGCUUUGGAAGAUGCCUUAAAGCAGUUAUACCUCAUUGAUGCCAUAGAUGACAAGGGUUCUAUCACAAGUCUUGGACGAACCAUGGCUGGUAAUAAAUUAUCUUCUGAAUUAAAAUCCCAUCUCAGUAUGACUAGCUCCUUUGAAUUGGCUUCUAGAAUUUCAUAUUAGAAGAAUUUUGUGCCUAUAGUUGUGGAGUUCAGUCAUGGCAAAAAAUUUGUUAGGAAGUUUGCUUAAGAUUUGAAAUCUUCCAUUUUUUGCAGAGCUUCCACUGGAACCUUCACUAUCAAGGACCUUGUUAGAGGCGAAUGAGUGUGGCUGUCUAUCUCAGGCUUUAACAGUCGCUGCAAUGUUAUCUGCAGAGACUACAUUGCUCAUAGGCCAAAGGUAAAUCUUGACAUCGUCUCUUUCAUUUGUGUUUCUACAGGUGUAUACUUAUAUGUCUGUGAUUGUGAGUGUUUAGCACUGUUUCUCCUGCAACAGUGUCAUCUUAAAAUGGGUUACAAGUGGCCUAGCAAUGAUAAAUUUUCCUUUUUGUUUAAAAAAGGGGGGGGUCUUGAAACGAAUGAACACACAGCAUUCUCUUGGAUAUUGCAGUAUAAUAAACUGGAAUCCACCAUGUGAUACCUGUCAUUAUUUUGUUCCGUUAGAAUUCUUGUUUUUCUGCCGCUAAUUGUGUUUUUCAUGCAGUAAAAGUGCGGAUAAGAAGCGGAAGCACACUCCUUCAAAUCUUCCCGAUGGUUCUGGCUUCGGUGACCACAUCCAAUUCCUGCAAAUUUUUGAGCUUUGGCACCAAACUGACUAUCAUAUUGACUGGUGCAAGGAGAAUAACUUGCAGGUACUAGCAUUUCUUGUUAUCUUUUGCUUAAUCAAUCAUGCGAAUGUCCACUGUUUCAAAUUUGCAGUCUAGAAAUAUUAGGAGAGACAAACAAGAAAAGUAUACGGCAUACGCUGAAUAAAUCGUUUCAUGUUUAUUUUAACUCAUUUAUGUAGGUGAGGGGGAUGAAGUUUGUGAAGGAUGUCCGGAAACAGUUAUGCCAAAUAAUGCAGAAGAUUGCCAAAGGUCAGUAUCACACAUAUAUCUUCUGCUUGCAUUCUCUAUGAAGUCAUUGAUUUAUCGAGCCUCUUUAAAUCGUUGUAUAUGCAUCAUCUGUUUCGGUUAAGACUGAAGCAUGCCCAGAAUACACGAUUAAACUAGUAAACAAAUAGUCUCUGUGCUGUAUUUACAUCUAUAUUGUGCUGCUCAUUUUUGCCAUUGAGUAUGCUUGUAUGUUUGUCUUGUGAUCUUGCAAAAGUUCUUCUCUCUCUCUCUCUCUCUCUCUACUUGCCUUUUGAAAUUUCUCCCCAUAACAGGACCCGUGGAUGUGAAAACAAGUAAAAGGCGAAGGGAAGACCAAGAUUACAGAUCCUUGAGGAAAGCUCUAUGUUCAGGAUACGGAAAUCAACUAGCAGAGCGAAUGCUUCGCCAUAAUGGCUACAAGACCCUUGGCUUCAAGUCACAAUUAGUACAGGUAGACGAUCCAGUCGUAUUUCUACUGCUCGUUGAGCAGCUUUUAGUUCCGAAAAAUCACAAUCUCCACAUCUUUACUGUUGCAGGUGCACCCAUCAUCAGUGCUGAGAACAGAUGAAGAAGGCAUGUUCCCCAAUUAUGUCAUCUAUCACGAACUCAUUGCUACUACACGUCCAUACAUGCGGAACGUAUGUGCUGUCGAGAUGCCUUGGGUCAGACCUGUCUUUGCUAAACUCGAGAAUCUGAAUGUCAGCAAACUCAGGUGUGCCAACUCUUUUCCUUUCUUAGACGCGUUUCAUCUUAGGAUCCUAAACACGCUCUCCAGUCGCAUCACAUGAUUCCUCUGUGUAACGUGUCUUGUCCUCGUUUGAGCAGUGGAGGAGCCAACCAGUCUCAUGAAGAGGUUCAACCAGAAAACGCAGUCGUGCAGAAGGACGAUGAUGGUAAUGCUGCUCCGGCUCAGCCUGCUGAGGACCGCGACAGUAAAAUUCUCGCGGCCCGGGAACGUUAUCUUGCUCGUAGAGGUCAAGCCAAUAAAUAGCAGGACAUAUGAAGCUGAGAUAUCAAUACUAGAAUGCAGCCAGGGGCUGCCUUAUUCAUUGCCUCAGGUCUCUAUUCAACCUCGUCAUGAACUAUAUAUGUAUAUGUGCAUACUGCAUGUAUUAUUUGUAACAUUAUCCUCUUAAAUCAGUUUAAUAAUGAUGAUACAUACAAAUUUUUGCAUACAUUACUCUCUUUUUAUUUUUCUAAACUUCAACUUUAUUUUUUUAUUUUGUGCAUUCUAAUUAUGUAACAUUAUUAAUUAAUGAAUAUAUAUAAUUUAAAAAUAAACUAAUUACGUCUAUCUAUGUGUGCAUCAAACACAAAUUUAGGAUUUUGAGAAUCAUGAUUAUUAUUGUAUAUCUUCAAUUUUAAAACUAUUUAGCUCGUUGGUUAUUGUAAUAUAUUUUGGUGAUUUUUAGUUCAAUUUUGAUUAUGAUUAGUUUAUACUUCCUCCGCUAAAAAAAACUAUCCCUUUAUUAUUUAGGACCGUCCACAAAAAUUAAUUUAUUUCAAUUUUUGAAAAAUUUCUAUGACAUAAUCGCCCUUUUUUUCAUUCAUAAUAUAAUUUUUUUUUGGUAUAAACAAUAUAUAUAUAUAUAUAUAUAUAAUUAUUAUGAAAUUUUAUUUUUUAAGUGAAAUUAUUUCUCCACUUAGAAGUUAGAAUACACUUAUCAUUUUUAUUUUUAUUAAAAUCUGUCUCGUCUUUUUAAGUUCUUUUUUUGUGGAGUAUUAUUUAUACAUAUAGGUACUGUUAUCAUUAACUUUUGUUACAUUAGGUAAUUUAUCUUCACAUAUUAAGUGAAACAGUGAUGUAGAGAUGAUGUGGAGAUAAAAAAAAUCGAAUAUAAUUUUUUUUAAUUGUCAAAUUAGCUUAGGGUGAGCCAUAUCACUGCUUAAUUAGUCGGAACUUUAAUUCGAACUCUAAGUCGAAUUAUUUUUUAAUAAUAAUUUUAUUAUUGUUCCGUAAUUUUUCACGAGAAAUCCAAAAGUUCCGCGGGAAGCUUUCAUUCACGUGAAUAAUUUAAAGCGCAAGCAACACAUGGCAUCCAUGGAAAUCGAACACAUGGGUUCACACAGUUAGCAGUCCCCUACCUUUCUCGUUUUCAAUUUCUUAAUUCUCUUCCAAAAUUUCAUGGUUAAUUCAUCAAUUUCGUGAAGCUCUUAUGUUAUGAUGUGGAGUCGUGGACCACCGCCACAGAAAAAUGCCCCAAGUCUAACGUCACCUAAUUCACUAAAAAAUUAGUAUAAUUUUCUUGCAUAAUUACAGUAGUUACAGUUGACAUCAGCUCCCAAAUCCUAACUCAAAAGCCCUCAGCUUCGCAGGGAAAGAAUCUCGGCAGCUAGAGCUAGUUGCCUUAUUUUCUUUGUGGGGUAUACUAAUUAAGAGAAUUAAAUUAGCGAUCUUUAAUAUUAAAUUCGUUUGUUUAGUGCCCACAUGCAAAUCUUGCUUGUUUGUAAGUUUAUUCUUGUGAUUUAUAAUUGAAACGUGCGUGUGAAUAAGAUUUAUCAAUGAUUAUGAUCUGUCAUUUGUGUUGAAUCUUCAUUUCUCCCCCCUUUUUAAGCUUCUUCAAAGUUGAGCCCCCUUUUUCCUCCCUUUUCCUUUCCCAGACUAUCUAAAUGGCUGAGGCUCAUAUUCAAAUAGAAGUGGAAGAUUCGAGAAUUACACAUGAAAAUGCCCCUCUUCUGAAAAAUUGCGACGAAAACCAGCAAUCAGACCCCCCAGGUGUUCGAGAAAAUGAAAAAGAGACUCUUUUGGACAAGACCCUUCAAAGGUUGGAUCUUUUCAUCACUCUCUUGGGGUUCAACCAGACCUCUGUGUUGAGGUUUCUGGUUUCUUGGGGGGUAUUUUUGGUAUUUGGGGUUUUGAUUCCGGUGGUGAUGCUUGAGCUCUCGAAUUGCCCGGGGUGUGAGAAGGGUCAGAUCAAGAGCUUCGAGAUUGGUAUAGUGAUUUCUCAGGCUUCUUUGGCUGCUUCAUCUAUGUUGUGCUUUUCACAUAAUUUGCGGAAAUAUGGAGUUAGGAAAUUUCUCUUUGUUGAUCGAUACAGUGGGUAUGUGGAAAGGUUCAGUGGCCAGUAUGUGCAGAAGAUCUCAGUGAGUAAUGCUUCAACUGACUUGUUCUUAUUGAAUGAAUUUAUUUUGUGAUUGUCAUGUGAAGAAGAAUUGAGUGAAUGAAUGUUUUUUGGUGAUUGUUUCCAUGCUUCUUUGAAUUGGUUUGUUGCUUCGAAGAAUAAUGAAAGAUGUUGCAGAGAUCGUCUGUUGAAGUAACCAUGGUUUAAUCUCAUUGAUUGGAGAUCUGUGUAGUGUUGGUAUUGUUAGCGUAUAUAAUGAAAUGAAGGGCUACGUAUAAUUUUGCUAUUCUUUUCUUGAAUUUAAAGAUGAAUUUAGGGGUGUUUCAAUGAAGGAUUGCAUGUGAUGCUCGAGUUCUUUAUUGUGUGUUUACAGUGCAUAUUAUAGCAUUAUUUGAGUCUUUCUUCUAAGAGUGUGUUUACUUUUUUGGGUUAUAUGAUAGAUGGAUCAACAUAGUAUUUGAUCAAUUUUGAGCUUGUUUUAUCAUCUAAUCCUUCAAACACUCAAAUCACAUAUUCACAUGUAAACGCUCCCUAAAUGUUGUCGUGUGUUGAUUAUUUCCACUGUUCGGUGAAUCAGAAAUGUACAGGUUUGUUGGUCGUUUGGGGAAGCCUGAUAGCUAUUGUUAUUCUUUGCAGGAUUCUCUACGCUUGUUAGUAAUAUGGGUGAUCCCAUGUUGCCUCUUGAAAACUGCUCGUGAAAUAAUCCGUAUCAUGUAUGUUCACCAUGAGUCGCAGUGGCACUCCGUUGCAAUUUUAGUUGCUUUCGUGUUGUCAUGGACUUAUGUGACUGCUAUCAUUCUUUCAUCCUGUGUCUUGUUCCACCUGGUGUGCAACUUGCAAAUCAUACAUUUCGAAGACUAUGGAAAACUUUUGGAAAGAGAAUCUGACGUUAUAGCCUUACUGCAAGAGCAUGCCCGCCUGCGCUACUAUCUGUCCAAAAUAAGCCAUAGAUUUAGAAUAUAUCUUCUCCUGCAAUUUGUGAUUGUAACUGCGAGCCACUUUAUGUUUCUAUUCCAGACCACUGGGUACAGUGGGAUAAUCACUUUCAUCAAUGGCGGUGAUUUUGCAGUAAGUCCGAAAUCUUGUGCAACAUAUUUCUCCAUAUACCAUCUUUGAUAUGAACGCGAUUGAGGCUUUUGAAUUUGCCAAAACUUGUGUACUUGUAUACAGCAUCUCAUGUCGGAAAUUUAGGCUUCACAUAUUUGGUUUCGUAAUAUUGUACUGUUAUAGAAGUGCUUGAAAACAUAGCUUAGAAUAAAUUUCUCUUUCUCUAGCUCUCUCCCGCGUCCCACCUUGUUUAAUUAAUCUUCUCGUUUGUUGAAUUGUCUAGGUGACAUCAAUCGUUCAGGUGGCUGUGAUAAUUCUUUGCCUGAAUGCUGCUGCAAAAAUAUCCCACAGAGCCCAAGGCAUUGGAGCACUCGCAAGUAGAUGGCAUGCUUUAGUGACUUGCAGUGCUGAUGAUGCAUCUCAGUUCCGUAACUCAAAUUACUCGGGAAAUUCUGAGGCUGCAGACAAGUUGGUUUCACUCCAUGUAGACUACUCGGAAAGUGAUUUGGAAUCACUGGAUUUUAUGUCAACACCUAGUAAUGUACAGUUGGCGUCGUAUAUGUCUUCUUAUCACAAGCGACUGGCACUAGGUACAGUUACCAUCUUCUUCAGCUUGGCGUUUUUCAAUUUAAGCAGACUUUUAAACAUUUUUUCACAGAAUGCUGUCAUAAUCACCUGCUAAAUACUAAGCUGCAUGAUCAAUGCUUUGAAAUGUUCAGAACUUGCAAUUUUGUCCUAGUAAUACUGUUUGCUUAUUGCCUCGUAGCAUAUAAAGAAAACGAGAUUUAUACACGAAAUGCUAAAUAUUCCUAAGCUCCUAGCUUGGUGUUGUAUACUGGUAUAAGGAUAAACUUACAUAGGUGAAAUGAGCUUUCUCCGAACUAUGAUAUGCAUCCAACCGGAAUAUCGAAUUUUGCUUAGAAUCGAAAUAAUGUAUAAGAAAACCGAAAGAUUGCCAGAAAGUAAAGAAAGUAGGCAAAAAACAAGAUAAUGACUAGUUAUACAUUUCUGCUACUAGAAGAAACACGGUCUCUUUUAUUUUCAUUUUUCGACUCUGUCUAUUUGCCUAUCUUUGUAUAUAUUUCCAGCAUUUCUGCAAAACUAAACAUGUUGGAAAAAUUUCUCUAUGCAGUGAUGUAUUUGCAGUCCAAUCAAGGAGGCAUCACGAUUUUCGGGUGGACAGUUGAUCGUGGUCUGAUCAACACGAUCUUCUUCAUUGAACUAUCGCUAGUCACAUUCGUGUUGGGCAAGACCAUAGUCAUCACAUGAGAGUAGGGCAUCAACAGUCAUCUCUUUGCUGCCGGCAGUGUUGCCCUUUUUUCGCCCGGGUCAUACCAUAUCUCGAGCCAGCCAACGGGCAAGGACCUAGCACUCCCAGCUUUGCUUCUUUCGCCAACAUCAGAAAAAAAUGUUGAGGUUACAGUUCCUAUAUAUACCCGGUGAGUCUCAUCCUCUUCGUCCUCGAUUUUUUUCAAGUUUUAUUUUGGCCAUUUUGAGGUAAAAAAUGAGACCUGAAAUUCAUCAGAAGCUAUAAGUUGUUUGUACAAAUUGUUUCAUUUUUGCAGAGAAGAAUUACAGAAAGGUUUGCUUUUACAUCACCACUCACUUGGGUUGCUCUUCUUUUUUUUCUCUUUUUUUUUUAGUUUUAAGUUGAGGGAGGAGAAUUAGUAUUGUACAUUAAUAUAUAAUAAAUAUGUUCAUAUUUAUAAAGGUGCAGAAUACCACUAAAUUACAAAGGCUUCGGAUAAAUGCAAUAUUCAUCGUAUUAUGCCGCGUGUAGGCUCUCAUCACAUAAUAAUCAAAAGUUCUGAUAUAGUAAUAGUAUUUUAAUUGAUGUGUUAUUUAAUUGUAGAUGUCACAUUUGUAUCAUAGAUUAGGUGAAUUACAGUGCGUGACGGAGUAGAAAACACAACUACCAAUCAACUGAUUAUAAUCCGAAUGCAUUAUUGUUCAAUUUGGCUCGAUGUGACCAAUUUUAGAAAUAGCACUUGAUUUUCUUUAAUCAUCAAUUAUGUAAUUAAUAUAUGUCUUUAACACAAGUUGUAGUUAAUUAUAACAGUUUAAUGCAAGUAUGCAACUACAAAUAUGAUUUAGAUUUAUUAAAUUUUUAGUAUGUUUUUGUAUUAUUAUUAUUAUUAUUAUUAUUAUUAUUAUUAUUGAUAAUUUACAUAUCAAUUAAGCAUCAAAAUGACUUAUUGAAAAAUCAUUAAUUAGAGAACUAUUAUCGAUUUUUUAAAAAAAUAAAAGUAAAUUGAAGAGUUUAAUUUUGUAUUAGCACGUCUAUUUAAAUUUACUAAAAUUGCAUAUAUUUUAUUUUUGAAAAAAUUAUAAAAAUGUGAUAAAUUGUAUCAAUAGAAAAAAUUGUAACAAAAAAAUAUUUGUAUGAUCUAGAGUAGACAAAAUGAAUAAAAAAAAUAGAAACAAAAUUAUUUUCAAAAAUAGUAAAGUGAUUUUUGACGAUAAAAUAUAACUUACUAUUUUUUAAAACGGUUGUGCUUUUAUAUAGAUAUAUAGAUACCUAAAGCAAUUUUCUCCUCACGUUCAAACAGUAAGUUAACACCGCUAAAAAAUUAAAUUUUUAUUUUAUUUCGUCCAGCUCAACGACUCCACCAGAGAGAUCCGCUUCAACCCGGCCAUCUCCCUCGAACCACCCCUGCCUGCCGAACCAAGCUCAUCUUUGUCCCCGACAAGGAGCGCCAGCGCUCCAAUUUGCUCGCCUCCUACAAUUUCCUCCGCCUCUGGCAAAUCCUAUUAAUGUAAUACGUGGAUUUGGCAUCACACAUGAUGGCAGUAUUUUGUUCCAGACAUAAGAUAAAAGUUACUUUAAUCUUACAAUCAGAAAUUAAAUCAUUAUUCACCCACAAAAUGUAAUAAUAAACCAACUAAAGAAAG
rnacentral:lncRNA from 1 species